AUACGUAGGGGGCAAGCGUUAUCCGGAUUCAUUGGGCGUAAAGCGCGCGCAGGCGGCCGCUCAAGCGGGACCUCUAAUCCCGGGGCUCAACCCCGGGCCGGGUCCCGAACUGGGCGGCUCGUGUCCGGUAGGGGAGGUCGGAAUUCCCGGUGUAGCGGUGGAAUGCGCAGAUAUCGGGAAGAACACCGAUGGCGAAGGCAGACCUCUGGGCCGCGACAGACGCUGAGGCGCGAAAGCUAGGGGAGCGAACAGGAUUAGAUACCCUGGUAGUCCUAGCCGUAAACGAUGACAGCUAGGUGUGGGGGCAGGCCUUGCCCCCGUGCCGCAGCCAACGCAUUAAGCUGUCCGCCUGGGGAGUACGGCCGCAAGGCUAAAACUCAAAUGAAUUGGCGGGG
rnacentral:rRNA from 1 species